AGAAUGAAGACUCGAUCGGCAAUAAACAAGGAUCCCAUUAGGGAGAGAGAACAACGCCCGGAGAUUCCAAUCAAUUCUCAACAAAGCCGUGAAAAUCGAGUGCAUUCUAUACAGCCUUCACCUUCAGGGGGCACGGCGAAGACAAGUAACAUUUCAACCUCAGAAAUUGGAGUUCAAACAGAAUUAUUGAUGGCGGAUCCUAGUUCCUGGCAUAUCAGUUUGUUUCCAAGUGACGUACAAAAUGCAAUUCGUGACUGGGAAUUAAAGAGACGAGAAUUUUGACCCUAGGAGAACGCCAAAUCCAAAAUAAAAGAUUGGGAAAGACAAAGAUUUAUUCACAUCCGGAAACUGACCAUACGAUUGAUUCUCUUAUAGUUUCAUUAUUAAAUGUUCUACUUUAAGUAAAUUUAUCACA